UUCUCCCCACUGUGGCAGCCGCGGGGCAUGCUGGGAACCUCUUGUGCGGUGGUCUCAGCUCUUGGAAAAGUCUCCAAUAAUCUUCUUGGACCUUUGCCUGGGCGCACACAGAGGAAGUCUCUCCCCCUCAGGGCUGCCACCUCCUGAAGGACCCCAAGGUGUCCCCGCAGAGACCCCGCAGCCAGAGGAAUGGCCCCCGGGACCCCGAGGCCCCCCUCCCAGGGGUCAAUAGCAUUCAAGGAUGUGGUUGUGGACUUCACCCAGGAAGAGUGGUGCCUAUUGGAUCAUUCUCAGAAAGAGCUGUACCUGGAGGUCAUGCUGGAGAAUGUGCAAAGUCUACUCUCUGUGGGGCUUCCAGUAACCAGAGAACAUUUAAUCUCCUGUUUUCAGCAAGGGAAAGCACCAUGGCUGCUAGAGCAAAAGGGUCCAAGGAGCUCUUCUCCAGUGGUAGGUUUUGAAGUGAAGGUGAAAUGUACAAAGCUAAGCCUUUUUGUGGAAGGAUCUGGCCCCCAAAGAUGCAUGAAUGAGGGUCCUCAUGACUUCAUUUUGAGAGAAAUCUGUGAUUCUACUAUGAAAGUAACUAAAAAUCCAAAGAGUCACUGUGAAAUUGACAAAACUGCAGAGAAAUUCAGCCAAUAUUCAGUUCUAACUCAGUACAUGAAAUUGACCUUAGGAAAUGAGUGUUGUCAGGAUAGCAAAUCUAGGAAAUGCUUUCCUAAAGAAGUGGGAUUUGUUCAGUCACCUGAGAAACCUGAAAUUCCCAUGUAUCAAGGUAACGUAGGAGGAAUGGCCUUUGGCUGGAGUUUAGACUCCAUUAGACAUCCAAAAAAUAAACCUUUCAAGAUGGUUUCUCUGAAUAAUAAAAGUGGGAGACCUUUCAGUCAGAAAUCCAAGCUUGCUGCAUAUCAGAGAAUCCACACUAGAGAGAAACCGUAUCAAUGUAAACAUUGUGGAAAGACUUUCACACAGAGGGGCUCUCUUGUUCAACAUGAGAGAAUCCACACUGGAGAGAAACCUUAUGAAUGUAAACAUUGUAGAAAGGCUUUCACACAGAGGGGCCAUCUUAUUGCACAUCAGAGCAUCCAUACUGGAGGCAAGCCUUAUGAAUGUAAACACUGUGGAAAGGCUUUUACACAGCGGAGCAGUCUUGAUACACACCAGAGAAUCCACACUGGAGAGAAACCUUAUCAAUGUAAACAUUGUGGAAAGGCUUUCACACAGAGGAGCAGUCUUGCUACACAUCAGAGAAUCCACACUGGAGAGAAACCUUAUGAUUGUCAACACUGUGGAAAGGCUUUUACACAGAGGGACCAUCUUAUUGCACAUCAGAGCAUCCACACUGGAGAGAAACCUUAUGAAUGUCAACACUGUGGAAAGGCUUUUACACAGAGGAGCAGCCUUGCUACACAUCAGAGAAUCCACACUGGAGAGAAACCUUAUGAAUGUAAACAUUGUGGAAAGGCUUUCACACAGAGGGGCAGCCUUGCUAUGCAUCAGAGAAUCCACACUGGAGAGAAACCUUAUGAAUGUAAACAUUGUGGAAAGUCUUUCACACAGAGGGGCCCUCUUAUUGCACAUCAGAGCAUCCACACUGGUGAGAAACCUUAUAAAUAUUAACACUGUGGUAAGGCUUUUUCACAGAGGUGCAACCUUAUUGCACAUCAGAGCAUCCACACUAGAGAGAAACCUGAUGAAUGUCAACACUGUGGAAAGACUUUCACCCGGAAGACCUCUCUGACUAAGCAUCAGAGCAUACACACUGGAGAGAAAUCUUAUAAACUUUAUAAAUGUAAGCUGUGGAAAGGAUUUUACAUGGAGAGGCUAUCUUGUUAAACAUAAAAGAAACCACUCUGGAGAGAAAUUUUAUGAAUGUAAACACUGUGGAAAAGCUUUUACAUGUAGUGGAUCUCUUGCUAAGCAUCAGAGCAUCCACGCUGGAGAGAAACCUUAUGAAUGUCAAACAGUGUGUAAAGGCUUUCACACUAAGGAACAAUUUUGCCGGACAUCAGACAAUCCACACUAGAGACAAAUGUCAUAAAUGUAAACAUAGAAAGACUUUUACAUGGAAGGAAUCUCUUUCCAGAGAUCAGACAAUCCAGUCGGGAGAGAAACCUUAUUGUAUAGAAUAAAAUCAUGCUUCAUUCUCCAGUAUGUAUUAAUUAGUAUUAGUGAUCUUUGAUUGGCAACUUCCUAUGGAAAAGUUGUGAAAGUCUGGUGACUGUCAGAGGGGAGAUACUAAACUCUCGUUAUGAAGAGGAGAGAAAUUUCCCUUGCCAGCAUCUUUUUAUCUACAUAAAUAUAUACUUUCAAUUCACUGUUUUCUUUAUGUGGCUAAAACCUUGUCUUUUUAAAAAUUCAGAUUCAGAAUAUGUGAUGGGCAUCAUGGAAUGAAUUGGGUCAUGAACAUAGAAUGGCAGCAGGAAAAAAGCAAUAGAGUCAAGAAAUCAGGAGACUGGGGGAAGCUGGGUGGCUCAGUGGAUUGAGAGUCAGGUCUAGAGAUGGGAGGUCCUAGGUUCAAAUCUGACCUCAGACACUUCCCAGCUGUGUGACCCCGGGCAAGUCACUUGACCCCUUUUGCCUAGUCCUUACCACUCUUCUUCCUUGGAGGCAAUACACAGUAUUGACUCCAAGAUGGAAGGUAAGGUUUAAAAAAAAAUCAGGAGACAGGGGUCAAGGUGGAUUUCCCUUGCACUGCCCCCUGGGGUGCCCCUCUGAGAGGCCCAAAUGAAAUUGAAAGCCACAUGUGCCUCCUGAUAGUUGAUAUGUAAGAGUUAAUGGGAGGGGGAAAAGUUUGAUAAACUGAGGCAAGAGCAGAUUUUUCUCUCUUCUCCUAUGGUUUUGUUGCUUGCUGGAGUUUCCUGUGAGCAUGCCUAUGGGUCCCUAAUGGCAGAGACAGAAUAGCAAGCUAAAUGUAUCAACCAGGAAAGUGACAUAUCUCUCCUCUUUUUCUCUUUUUUCUGAGGCCUCAGGACACAAGGGGCAACCAUGAAACCACUGCUUGCCUGCCACCCUGGCAUCUCCAGUAUAGGCUUUUCUCCCCAGUACCACCCCUUUUUUUGGGAUAGCCUGCUUCCUUCCUUAGGAUCCCACAAGCCAGUGCACCACCACCUGCUGGCUUACAGUAAACAUGCAGACAAUUUAAAAACAAGAAGGGACCUCGUGUCCAGGGGAGCCAAAGGAACCCUGGAGGAGGAGACGGUGCCCAAAGAAAACUGAGCAAGGCCAAGUUCUCUAGCUGGCCUGUGGACAUGUGCUGAGGGACAUUGGAUGGACAAUGUAAGAGAGGGAAAGAGGGCACUUGGCCAUGUUUGGAGCCUUCUGAGACUUGGUGAAGUCCUUCCCAUCUGGCUGCAGAGCAUCAGGGUACAGGCUUCUUUUCCGGUAGACUCAAUCUCCAGUUGUAGGCGAGCCUGGUCUGGGGGGUGGCUCCCUGGGCAAUCAAAGAGAAGUGUAAGAGAAUGCCCCCUUUACCUGAAAAGAGAAAUAGAAGGCAAAGUAGGGGGGAAAAGUUUGGAAAAAUGAGCAAACAGUAAAACAAACAUCUACCCAGAGAAAGUGUCUAAGGAACUGUUAACUUGGAAAUAACACAGAACUAUUAAAUAGUCAGAAAACAAAAAACAAAAAACAAGUUUUUAAUCAGGAGAGGGAUGAGUCCAAUUUGGCCCUUUCCUCAGAGUCAGCGCCACAACCUUUUCGGGAUGCAAACCCUGGACUCUGGGGAUGUUAUCCCUGGGAGCACCACAAAGCUAGAUGACAACUCUGAGGAAAAAAAGAACUUGGGGAACCUCUAUACCCUUUGGGAAAACGAGGGGCAGGGAAAGAUGAUUGACAUCACUAUGGCUACAAGGAAAAUGGGAGUGUUCAAACUACACUGACAAGAUACAAUCAAGCUAGAAGCUAGGGUGCAAGAGAAGGGGGAUGCUUACAAUGGUUACUAAAGGAUGGUUCAUGCCCAGGUCUGACCUUCCUGAGAAAGGUUUUAAUACAAUAGGGGAGGCUACCUAAAACAAAGAAUGUCCUUAGCAUAUGCUUAUCUCACCCAACCAUGGUCAUCAUGUCCCUUCAGGGUAGAUUCUCAUGGGAACAGGGAACAAGGAUAAGCUUUUGGGGUCUCCAAUCUACAAGCUAAAUCUAAAAUUGGGGUUCAUCAGAUCCCACUAGGCCACAAGCUUGGGAUUCCUAAAUUCCAUGUUGACAGAGGCAAAGAAGAAUGUAAUUUAAAAAAUACUCUUUUUCCUUUUGAACUUAAUAGACUUUAAUUGGAGUGAGAAAGAAAAGGGUUUUAGUUGAAUUAGCAAAGGAAAAGCCCAGAGCCUCCUGGUCCACCGAUCAAAGUCCAAUCAAAAGUCCCUCUCUAGUGGGAUUGAUCCCUUUAUAGACCAAUCCCACACCAGGAUGUAAGGGGGUUGUAACACUGAGAGGUGCAGUGAAGUCCCCCAGCAUAUAUAGUUCAUCUGCUAAAGGUGCAGGGAAUGCUGGGGGAUGUAGUUCCCUGGCAUGCAGUUUGUUAAAAACACACAAGAACAAGGCUCAGACUGAGAUGGGGAUUGGGAUACAAAAGCCUCCACAUACAAAAUUUCAAAUAAUAAUGGGAAUUGCUCUCAGGUGCUGGAAGAGUUUAAAAAGGAAUUAAAAAAUCAAAUGAGAGAAGUGAAAUGAAAAUGGGAAGAUAAGUGAACGUAAUGCAAAAAGAAAAUUGAACCUGAGAAAGGAAAAUUGGUCAAGUAGCCAAAGGAGUGCAAAAAUCCAAUGAAGAAAACAGUUCCAGGAAAAGUAAAAUGGGCCAAAUGGAAAAACGAGAAUCAAAAGGUCAUAGAAGUGUAAAAUUGAGAUUUGAACUCUGGACUCCAUUCCCCAGGAGUCCUUGCUAGCUCCCAGAGUGCUUUGUAAUCUCACUGAAUUCUCAAAUGGGCCUAGAGCAAAAUGAUUAUUUAGAGGGUCUCUGCCCACGGUGGGCUGUCUUCUCUUCCUGGCUCUGCUGGCAAACAGAUGCGUCUCAUGAUGUGAGUGAAAUUUGGGUGGGCCUCAUGGCCCACCUAGCAUGUGCUUCUCUUGCUUGUAUUUUCUUUAAUCCUCAACCUUUAAUAAACCUCAAAAAAAUAUAAUACUCCUUGCAGAGAGAAACUAAUUUCUACCUGCCUCAGUUUCCCUAAAUUUUAAUCUUUACAGAAGAAAAUUAUUCCUUGAAAAUUAUAAUGGGGCAUUAUAGGAGCUAAUGAAUUCAUGAGCUAUUGAGUAACAAUGAAACAAAAUCAAAAGAAUUAAAAAAGAAGAAACUAUGAAAUAUCUGACUGAAAAGCAAUUCACCUGGAAAAUAGGUCCAGGAAAGAUAAUCUAAGAUUCAUUAGACUAUAUUUAAAAAAGCCUAGAUGUCAUUACAAGAACUUAUUGUAGAAAACUGCCUUGAUAUUCUUUGAAUCCUAGGUUAAAAGAGAAAUGGAAAGAUUCCACAGAUAACCUCUUGCAAUAAAUCCCUAAAUGACAACUUCCAGGAAUUCUAUAGUCAAAUUGAAGCAAUGCCAUGCUAAGGAGAAAGUACUGCACUAUGCCAGAAAGAAACGAUUGCUAUAUCAUGGAGACCCAGUGUUGAUUAAACAUGAUUUGGGAGCUUCUACAUUAAAGGAUCUAAAUGUCUAAAAUAUGAUACUCUGGAAGGCAAGGAAAGGGGUUUACAACCAGGAAUCAUCCACACAUCAAGGCUGACUAUAUUCUUUCAGGGAAAAAACCAUGAUUUAAUAACAAAGGGAAUGUUCAAGCAUUCCUAAUGAAAAGAGCAGAACAAAGCAGAAAAGAUAUCCCAAACCAAGUUCAAGAGAAGCAUAAAAAGGUAAAUAAGAAAGAGAAAAUCUACAAGACUCAGGAAGCUCAAAUUUCUAUAUGCUUAGUGGAAAGAGGAUAUUUGUAACUCUUAAAAUUGGUCUUCUUUGCACAGUAGUUAGAAGAAGUAUACAUAGACAGAGGGUGUGGCACUAAACUGUUCAGGAAGAUAUAAAAAAUAAGAAGGUGAAAAACAGUCCAGCACUGAGAGAAAGGGAAGAGAGAAGUAACAUGGAGUCAAUUAACUCAAAUAAAGAGGCCUGGGAAGGAAAACUUACAGUGGAAGGGAUGAUGAGGGGGGUGACAGGUGUCAACAUGGAAUCUAGGAAUCCCAAACUUGGGGCCUGGUGGGAUCUGAUGAACCCCAAGUUUCAGGGCUAGCUUGUAGGAUGGAGACACCAAAAUUUAUACGUGCUCCCUGUUCCCCUGGGAAUCUACCCUGAAAGGAAUCCCAGGCUGGCAGUUUCAGACUAAGUGGGGGACCCUCAGGGGAAUAACAAUCCAGUCUAAGGAAGAAGCAGCUGGCAGGGCAGGAAUAGGAUGUGGGGGGAGGGGGAGAAAGCUGCAGCCCCCCAGGGUGGGGAACAAUUCCUUUAGACCCCUCCCCCACCACCCAGGAGACCAGUCAGGAGGACUCCAUUUCCCAGAAUGCCCCUGUCAUGCCGUCAUGCAAGUUUUGGCCUUCCCUGUGGAGGACUCCAUUUCCCAGAAUGCCGGUUCCCUGACUUCUCCCUAGUCUUGGCUCCUCCCCACUGUGGCAGCCGCGGGGCAUGCUGGGAACCUCAUUUACCGUCUCAGCUCUUGGAAAAGUCUCGGGUGAUCUUGUUAUACCUUUGCUUGGGUCAGAGGGGGAGCGGAGCGAGCCAUUGGCCGGGGGUGGGCCGGGGCUCCCUACUCGCCCUGCUCUAGAAGCUGAGACUUUCUGUUCGGAAGUCUUUGGGGGGGGGUGAAGAGACGCGGGGGGGGGGGGGCGGGGCGAGUGCGCACGUGACAGGAGAGGCUGGACGGGAGCCCCGCGCCCUGGGUAAAUGCUUGUGCUGGGGGAGGGGCUGCCUUCGCGUCUGUCCGUCAUUUUAAAGGACCCCGGAAAAGGGACAAACGCAGAAGUGCCCGACUCAGUCCGGAGCCCGGGCAGGGCUUUGUCCCUCCCUGGGAGGAGAGAGAAGGGGUCGCCAGCCCCGGAGCCUUGAGGCAGCUGGGGGAGGGGUGGCGGUGCAGGCACACACACAGGAAGUCUCCCCCCCCUCGGGUCUGCCACCCCUGAAGGACCUCAGGGUGGCCCCAGCAAAGAGCCCGAAGCCAGAGGGAUGUCCCCCUCCCAGGGAACAAUAGCAUUCAAGGAUGUGGCUGUGGACUUCACCCAGGAAGAGUGGUGUCUAUUGGACCAUUCUCAGAAAGAACUGUACCUGGAGGUCUUGCUGGAGAAUGUGCAGAAUCUAUUCUCUGUGGGGCUUCCGGUAACUAGAGAACAGUUAAUCUCCUGUUUUCAGCAAGGGAAAGCACCAUGGCUGCUAGAGCAAAAGGGUCCAAGGAGCUCCUCUCUAGAUUUUGAAUUGAAGGUGAUGUGUACAAAACUGAGCCUUUUUGUGGAAGGAUCUGGCCCCCAAAGAUGCAUGAAUGAGGGUCCUUUUGACUUCAUUUUGAGAGAAAUCUGUGAUUCUACUGUCAAGGUAAAUAAAAAUCCAAAGAGUGACUGUGAAAUUGAUGAACCUGCAGCUAAAUUCAGCCAAUAUUCAGUCCUAACUCAGUACAUGAAAAUGACCUCAGGAAAUGACUCUUAUCAGGAUGGCAAAUAUAGGAAAUGCUUUCCUGGAGAAGUAGGAUUUGUUCAGUCACCCAAGAAACCUGUAAUGCCCAUGGAUCAAGAUAAUGUAGGAGGAAUGGCCUUUGGCUGGAGUUUAGACUCCAUUACACAUCCAAAAAGUAAAUCUGUCAAGAUGGUUUCUGUGAAUAAUGAAGGUGGGAGACCUUUCAGUCAGAAAUCUAAACUUGCUGCACAUCAGAGAAUCCAUACUAGAGAGAAACCUUCUGAAUGUAAACAAUAUGGAAAAGCUUUUACAGAGAGUGGAUCUCUUGCUAAGCAUCAAAUCAUCCACACAGUAGGGAAACCUUAUAAAUGUCAACAUUGUGGAAAGGCUUUCACACAGAGGAGCAAUCUUGCUACACAUAAGAGAAUCCACACUGGAGAGAAACCGUAUGAAUGUAGACAUUGUGGAAAGGCUUUCACACAGAAGGGCAAUCUUAUUGCACAUCAGAGAAUACACACUGGAGAGAAACCUUAUGAAUGUAAACAAUGUGGAAAGUCUUUUACUAAGAAGGGAUCUCUUGCUACUCAUCAGAGUAUCCACACUGGAGGGAAACCUUCUGAAUGUAAGUACUGUGGAAAGGGUUUUACACUGAGGCACCAUCUUGCUACACAUCAGAGAAUCCAUACUGGAGAGAAACCUUAUGAAUGUAGACAUUGUGGAAAGACUUUCACACAGAAGGGCCAUCUUAUUGCACAUCAGAGCAUCCACACUGGAGAGAAACCUUAUGAAUGUCAACACUGUAGAAAGGCUUUCUCACAGAGGCGCUACCUUGUUGCACAUCAGCGCAUCCACACUGGAGUUAAACCUUUUGAAUGUCAACACUGUGGAAUGGCUUUCACACAGAGGCGCAGCCUUAUUGCACAUCAGAGCAUCCACACUGGAGUGAAACCGUAUGAAUGUCAACACUGUGGAAAGACUUUCACCCGGAAGAGCUCUCUGACUACACAUCAGAGUGUCCACACUGGAGAGAUACCUUAUAAACCUUAUAAAUGUAAACUGUGGAAAGGCUUUUACAGAGUGGAGCUAUGUUAAACAUGAGAGAAACCACACUGGAGAGAAAAUUUAUGAAUGUAAAUACUGUGGAAAGGCUUUUACAUGUAGGGGAUCUUUUGUUAAGCUCUAGAUGAUCCAAGCUGAAGAGAAACCUUAUGAUUGUAAAACAGUGUGUAAAGGCUUUCACACUAAGGAGCAAUAUUUCCAGACAUUAGAGAAUUGUUAUAAUUAAAGUAGUGGUUGAGCAUAAACUGUUACGAUAAAAAAGAGUGGUUGGCUUAAAUUGUGACCGUAGAAAUAUGGGUUCAAGACCGUGUUUUGAUUUUAAUCAAAAUAUAAAGUGGUCGCCAGGGAAAAAUUCCCAAAUAUGAAAUAUACCCAAGUCAGCUGGGUUUUAUAGUAUAGUAGUAGUCUCUCGGUAACCGAGGAUGACGAUUGUCUUUGUGCGUUUUCAUCUAUGGUGUAUAGAUGAGUGUGCACAAAGACACUUGUGUGUGAAGGAGAUUUAAGUGGAAAAGUCGAUGCACAGAGACAGUCCCACUCUCUUGGCAUUGGCAGCCUGGGUCCAGUGGCACGAAAAAUCGUUACACCUGGAGACUUCCUCAGCUGCAUUGGAUGGCCAUGUUGUCUUUUGUGCUCCAACACGCCCUAAGCACUCCACAGUGCUUUGCUGCGUUGCCCUCUCAGCUGUUGAACCUUCUUAUUGGUUUCUUCCGUCUGUUCAGCCAAAGCAGUCUUCACAUGCUGGGUGAGCAAAGCCCUGGUUCACCGGGGUUGAUGACCCAAUGGCUACCCUCACAAGGUUUGGCCAGCCAGUCGAAGCUGUUGCUUGUGGUGUGGCCGCUGCCACAUGCUAGCAGCUACUAGGAGCCACAAGUGAGAGCUGGGUGUCAGGUGGGAGUCAGAGGUUGGAGAGCUGCCCUAGGAGGGCAAGACAAGCCCUCCAUACCAGAGAUACUACCCCUCCUUGAGCACCCCAUUAAUUAAUACAAAUGAGGAAUUAACGAAAGGGAGAGAGAGAGAGUAAGAGGAAAUAAUGAGAAAAAAUGAUAGGCCAGCCUAGGCUUUUAAGCCUUAAGAGAGAUCAGUCAGUCUUUCAUCCACUCACCACAAGAUUUGUCCCAAGCAAGAUUCUAGUGUUCAGAGGGACACCAGGUCAGCUUUUGUCAGCCCCAUCUUAGCUGAAUCUACCAGCUGAAUGAUCCCAGAGCCCCUUCUGAGCUCCUUUUUAAAGCGAAUUUUCUCCUAUGUCAUCUCCCCUAAGUUCUUACAUCUACCAAUCACAGUAGAUGUUUUCCAAAGGACAGACCAUUCUUAAUUCACACCUGAGUAGACAAAACUUUUGAGUAAUUCACAGCUGAGUAGACAAAAACCUCUGAGUAAGUUCUCAUCUCUUUGCCACUUGCAAGUUUACAAGUUGCCUGACCUUUAUAGGUACUUAGCACCCUUUUGUAUUAGAUCUAAAAAUAGGCACAGCUUAAAGGUUUUUUGCCUUAAUAUAAGUAUGGGUUAAGUACUUUUCAUUGUUCAGCAAGGAGUUUACAACUUUAUCUUCCCCUAAGGCAUGCUUAAGUAUGGGUGAAGUAGAGUUCCCACAUUCCUGACUAAGUCCCUUCAUUGUUUAAAUGGGGAAUGGUCUUAACACAACCUUAUGAAGUAGGGUCUGAGAAUUUUUAAGAUUCACAGAAUCCACAUUGGAGACAAACCUUAUAAAUGUAAACAUGAAAAAAUGUUUACAUGGAAGGAUUCUCUUUCCAGACAUCAGACAAUCCAGAUGGGAGAGAAACCUUAUUGUAUGGAAUAAAAUCAUGUUUUAUUCUCCAGCAUGUAUUAAUUAGUAUUAAUAAUCUUUGAUUGGCAACUUCCUAUAGAAAAGUUGUAAAAGUCUGGUGACUGUCAGAAGGGAGAUACUAAUCUCUCCUUAUGAAGAGGAGAGAAAUACCCCUCCCCAGCAUCUUUUUAUAUACAUAAAUAUAUACCUACAAUUCACUCUUUUCAUGUGGCUAAAACCUCUUUAUAAAAAUUCAGAUUCAGAAUAUGUGAAGGGUGUCAUGUAAUGUAUUGUGUCAUGAGGAUAGAAUGGUAGCAGGAAAAAAGCAGCAGAGUCAAGAAAUCAGGAUACAGGAGUCAAGGUGGAUGUCCCUUUUACUGCCCUCCGGAAUGCCCCUCUGGGCGGCUCAAAUGAAAUUGAAAGCCACAUUUGACUCCUUAGAUUUGAUGUGUAAGAGUUGGUGGCAGGGGAAAAAUCUUGAUAAACUGAGGCAAGAGCAGAUUUUGGUCUCUUAUGGUUUUUUUGCUUGCUGGACUUUCAUGUUAUCAUGCUUAUGGGGCCCUAAUGGCAGAUGCAGAACAGUAAGCUAAAUGGAGCAACCAGAAAAGUAACAUAUAUCUCUCCUCUUUUCCCCUUUUUUCUGAGGCCCCAAGACACAACAGGCAGCCAUGAGACCACUGCUUGCCUGCCACCCUGGCAUCCCCAGUAUAGGCUAUUCUCCCCUGUACUGCCCCUGUUCCUUGGACGGCCUAUUUCCUUCUUUAGGAUCCCACAAGCCAGUGCAUCACCACCUGCUGGCUUACAGUAAACAUGCAGAGAAUUUAAAAACAAGCAAGGUAAAAAUAAAAUACUAAAAUUAAACAUAAUUAAAAUAAAAAAAAUUUUAAAUUAGAUAAAAUCAAACAAAAUAAAGUAAUAAAUACAGAAAAUAAAUUUGGUACAACAGUUCAGUAGUUCAUCAUUUCAGAAUUUAUUGCCUUGCAUUGAUUUCUUAUUGAAUCCUGAUACCAAAGUCUAGCUUUAUUGACUUUUAAAAUAAACUUAAAGGAAGUUGUGUGUACAUUUUAUAUUAGUGUUGGAAAUGUUUUGGAAUUCUUUAAUUAUUUGAUAUCAUAUAUUUCACUGCUUGACCCUAUGCACAAUACCAUAUACCUCCUGUAGGGGCCAUAGCCUAUUUCCCCCUCCCCCUCCUAAGUGAGGAUUUCUCUUCCACAGCCCCGGAAGCCAUAGCAUGACCCCAAACAGAAGAAAGACUUCGGAUUUUUUGAAAUUUGGGGAACAAAAUUAGUAGCUUCUGAUCAGAUAAUCAACUAAUAAUCCCCCAUUAUGAUGAAUAUGACUAAAGAAAUCCAGUUGAGUCUCCCAGAGUUUGCCAUUGUAUAAACUACUAUUUCAUUUGGAUGAAUCAGGAUUUCCCAGGGACCACUGGAUGUCAGCAAGAAGGCAGGCUGUAUGAAGCCUGGACAUGAAGUCUCCUACCUGGCCCCACUUUGGCUCUUUUCACAUUAAAAUUCUAAAGGAAUUGAAACCAGCCAUCUGCAGCAAGGAUUCCAGAGAAUAUUCCAGCUUGUUGCUCUGGGCUUAUCACCUUGAUGCUUCAACCAAACUGAUUACUACCAAUAUCCUUUCUGUUAAAUCUGAAAAACAAAACAAAACAAAACACCUGACUCCCUGACUUCUUCCCACCUCACCUCCUAUGAUGUUACUCCUCUCCAUCCAGGCCACCCUGACUCCUUUGGUACCUUCCCCUAACAUGCCUCUUUCAUUUCUGUGAUAGAGACAUGAAGAGAGAGAGGUUUUGCAGGAUUUGUGGACCAAGAUGCAAGAACCAGGGUUCCAAUGGAAUGUCCCCAGUUGGUGGCAGUUUAAGCUGACAGAUGGGAGGGGACUUUGUCUCUGACGGGAAGUCACUUUUUUUCCCUGGAGGUUUGAAGCCAGCUGAAAGGACUCUGGAGGGGCUUGACUUGGCUUUUGGUCUCUGUGUCUCUGACUGGAAGUCACACUCUCUCUCUUUGGAGGUUUGAACCUGGCUGAAAGACCUGUGUGAGGCUGAUUUGAUUUUGGGGGUUUCUCUGGUUCUGAGCAGUUGAAGUUGACACUGAGAAGCUUUUGAAUAGGUGAUCUAUUUGAGAGUUGAGCUGGCCAGGAGAAAACUUAGAAACUUUGAACUUUGUUUUUCUUUCUGGCUUUAAGCUGAGAGACCUUACUGAUUUCUUGUGAAGAAGAAGAAAGAAGAUCUUGAAAGGGCUUCUGUCCUCCAUCUUCCUAACUGUCUAAGAGUCACACUUAUGACUCCCCAAACCCUCAAUUUUAUCUCAUUUUAGAUUAGGGAAAUCCUUUUCCUUCUUACCUCAGUUUACCAUCCUGUUAUCCCAAUAAACCCUUUGACUGAGAAA